GGUUAAGCGACUAAGCGUACACGGUGGAUGCCCUGGCAGUCAGAGGCGAUGAAGGACGUGCUAAUCUGCGAUAAGCGCCGGUAAGGUGAUAUGAACCGUUAUAACCGGCGAUUUCCGAAUGGGGAAACCCAGUGUGAUUCGUCACACUAUCAUUAACUGAAUCCAUAGGUUAAUGAGGCGAACCGGGGGAACUGAAACAUCUAAGUACCCCGAGGAAAAGAAAUCAACCGAGAUUCCCCCAGUAGCGGCGAGCGAACGGGGAGGAGCCCAGAGCCUGAAUCAGCAUGUGUGUUAGUGGAAGCGUCUGGAAAGGCGCGCGAUACAGGGUGACAGCCCCGUACACAAAAGCGCACAUGCUGUGAGCUCGAUGAGUAGGGCGGGACACGUGGUAUCCUGUCUGAAUAUGGGGGGACCAUCCUCCAAGGCUAAAUACUCCUGACUGACCGAUAGUGAACCAGUACCGUGAGGGAAAGGCGAAAAGAACCCCGGCGAGGGGAGUGAAAAAGAACCUGAAACCGUGUACGUACAAGCAGUGGGAGCACCCUUUGGGGUGUGACUGCGUACCUUUUGUAUAAUGGGUCAGCGACUUAUAUUCUGUAGCAAGGUUAACCGUAUAGGGGAGCCGGAGGGAAACCGAGUCUUAACCGGGCGUUAAGUUGCAGGGUAUAGACCCGAAACCCGGUGAUCUAGCCAUGGGCAGGUUGAAGGUUGGGUAACACUAACUGGAGGACCGAACCGACUAAUGUUGAAAAAUUAGCGGAUGACCUGUGGCUGGGGGUGAAAGGCCAAUCAAACCGGGAGAUAGCUGGUUCUCCCCGAAAGCUAUUUAGGUAGCGCCUCGUGAAUUCAUCUCCGGGGGUAGAGCACUGUUUCGGCUAGGGGGCCAUCCCGGCUUACCAACCCGAUGCAAACUGCGAAUACCGGAGAAUGUUAUCACGGGAGACACACGGCGGGUGCUAACGUCCGUCGUGAAGAGGGAAACAACCCAGACCGCCAGCUAAGGUCCCAAAGUCAUGGUUAAGUGGGAAACGAUGUGGGAAGGCCCAGACAGCCAGGAUGUUGGCUUAGAAGCAGCCAUCAUUUAAAGAAAGCGUAAUAGCUCACUGGUCGAGUCGGCCUGCGCGGAAGAUGUAACGGGGCUAAACCAUGCACCGAAGCUGCGGCAGCGACACUGUGUGUUGUUGGGUAGGGGAGCGUUCUGUAAGCCUGUGAAGGUGUGUCGUGAGGCAUGCUGGAGGUAUCAGAAGUGCGAAUGCUGACAUAAGUAACGAUAAAGCGGGUGAAAAGCCCGCUCGCCGGAAGACCAAGGGUUCCUGUCCAACGUUAAUCGGGGCAGGGUGAGUCGACCCCUAAGGCGAGGCCGAAAGGCGUAGUCGAUGGGAAACGGGUUAAUAUUCCCGUACUUGGUGUUACUGCGAAGGGGGGACGGAGAAGGCUAUGUUGGCCGGGCGACGGUUGUCCCGGUUUAAGCGUGUAGGUGUGUGUUCCAGGUAAAUCCGGUUCACUUUAACACUGAGGCGUGACGACGAGGCACUACGGUGCUGAAGCAACAAAUGCCCUGCUUCCAGGAAAAGCCUCUAAGCAUCAGGUAACAUCAAAUCGUACCCCAAACCGACACAGGUGGUCAGGUAGAGAAUACCAAGGCGCUUGAGAGAACUCGGGUGAAGGAACUAGGCAAAAUGGUGCCGUAACUUCGGGAGAAGGCACGCUGACACGUAGGUGAAGUGAUUUACUCAUGGAGCUGAAGUCAGUCGAAGAUACCAGCUGGCUGCAACUGUUUAUUAAAAACACAGCACUGUGCAAACACGAAAGUGGACGUAUACGGUGUGACGCCUGCCCGGUGCCGGAAGGUUAAUUGAUGGGGUCAGCGCAAGCGAAGCUCCUGAUCGAAGCCCCGGUAAACGGCGGCCGUAACUAUAACGGUCCUAAGGUAGCGAAAUUCCUUGUCGGGUAAGUUCCGACCUGCACGAAUGGCGUAAUGAUGGCCAGGCUGUCUCCACCCGAGACUCAGUGAAAUUGAACUCGCUGUGAAGAUGCAGUGUACCCGCGGCAAGACGGAAAGACCCCGUGAACCUUUACUAUAGCUUGACACUGAACAUUGAGCCUUGAUGUGUAGGAUAGGUGGGAGGCUUUGAAGCGUGGACGCCAGUCUGCGUGGAGCCAACCUUGAAAUACCACCCUUUAAUGUUUGAUGUUCUAACGUGGACCCGUAAUCCGGGUUGCGGACAGUGUCUGGUGGGUAGUUUGACUGGGGCGGUCUCCUCCUAAAGAGUAACGGAGGAGCACGAAGGUUGGCUAAUCCUGGUCGGACAUCAGGAGGUUAGUGCAAUGGCAUAAGCCAGCUUGACUGCGAGCGUGACGGCGCGAGCAGGUGCGAAAGCAGGUCAUAGUGAUCCGGUGGUUCUGAAUGGAAGGGCCAUCGCUCAACGGAUAAAAGGUACUCCGGGGAUAACAGGCUGAUACCGCCCAAGAGUUCAUAUCGACGGCGGUGUUUGGCACCUCGAUGUCGGCUCAUCACAUCCUGGGGCUGAAGUAGGUCCCAAGGGUAUGGCUGUUCGCCAUUUAAAGUGGUACGCGAGCUGGGUUUAGAACGUCGUGAGACAGUUCGGUCCCUAUCUGCCGUGGGCGCUGGAGAACUGAGGGGGGCUGCUCCUAGUACGAGAGGACCGGAGUGGACGCAUCACUGGUGUUCGGGUUGUCAUGCCAAUGGCACUGCCCGGUAGCUAAAUGCGGAAGAGAUAAGUGCUGAAAGCAUCUAAGCACGAAACUUGCCCCGAGAUGAGUUCUCCCUGAGACUUAAAGUCUCCUGAAGGAACGUUGAAGACGACGACGUUGAUAGGCCGGGUGUGUAAGCGCAGCGAUGCGUUGAGCUAACCGGUACUAAUGAACCGUGAGGCUUAACCUU
rnacentral:rRNA from 1 species